CCUAAGACCGAAGUACAUGAUUCCAUGCUUCCAAGAAAAGCAUCUAGAGAGAGAAGUAGAGCCCGUACCGCAAACCGACACAGGUAGAUGAGGAGAGAAUCCUAAGGCCGGCGGAAGAAUUGCAGUUAAGGAACUAGGCAAAUUGACCCCGUAAGUUCGCGAGAAGGGGUGCCUGUGAGAGCAGGCCGCAGAGAAUAGGCCCAAGCAACUGUUUAGCAAAAACACAGGUCUCUGCUAAAGCGUAAGCUGAUGUAUAGGGGCUGACGCCUGCCCGGUGCUGGAAGGUUUAGGGGAACACUUAGCGCAAGCGAAGGUGUGAACUUAAGCCCCAGUAAACGGCGGCCGUAACGAUAACGGUCCUAAGGUAGCGAAAUUCCUUGUCAGGUAAGUUCUGACCCGCACGAAUGGCGUAAUGACUUGGGCACUGUCUCAACUGCAAAUCCGGCGAAGUUGUAGUGCGAGUGAAGAUGCUCGCUACCCGCGAUUGGACGGAAAGACCCCGUAGAGCUUUACUGUAGCUUAGCAUUGAAUUCCGGUAUUGUCUGUACAGGAUAGGUGGGAGACUGGGAAACUAGGGCGUCAGCCUUAGUGGAGUCAACCUUGGGAUACCACCCUGACAGUACUGGGGUUCUAACAGGACGCCAUGAAGCUGGUGACUGGACAUUGUUAGGUGGGCAGUUUGACUGGGGCGGUCGCCUCCUAAAAAGUAACGGAGGCGCCCAAAGGUUCCCUCAGAACGGUCGGAAAUCGUUCGUAGAGUGCAAAGGCAGAAGGGAGCCUGACUGCGAGACCCACAAGUCGAGCAGGGACGAAAGUCGGGCUUAGUGAUCCGGUGGUACCUCGUGGGAGGGCCAUCGCUCAACGGAUAAAAGCUACCUCGGGGAUAACAGGCUGAUCUCCCCCAAGAGUCCACAUCGACGGGGAGGUUUGGCACCUCGAUGUCGGCUCGUCGCAUCCUGGGGCUGUAGUAGGUCCCAAGGGUUGGGCUGUUCGCCCAUUAAAGCGGCACGCGAGCUGGGUUCAGAACGUCGUGAGACAGUUCGGUCCCUAUCCGUCGCGGGCGUAGGAAAUUUGAGAGGAGCUGUCCUUAGUACGAGAGGACCGGGAUGGACUGACCUCUGGUGCACCAGUUGUUCUGCCAAGAGCAUGGCUGGGUAGCUAAGUCGGGAAGGGAUAAACGCUGAAAGCAUCUAAGCGUGAAGCCCCCCUCAAGAUGAGAUUUCCCAUAGCAUAAGCUAGUAAGACCCCUUGAAGAACACAAGGUUGAUAGGUCAGAGGUGGAAGUGCGGUAACGUAUGUAGCUGACUGAUACUAAUAGGUCGAGGGCUUGACC
rnacentral:rRNA from 1 species